rnacentral:rRNA from 1 species
GACGAACGCUGACGGCGUGCUUAACACAUGCAAGUCGAACGAAGUGGCGAACGGGUGAGUAACGCGUAAUCAACCUGCCCUUCAGAGGGGGACAACAGUUGGAAACGACUGCUAAUACCGCAUACUGAAGGAGGGGAUGGCGUCUGAUCAGCUAGUUGGAGGGGUAACGGCCCACCAAGGCGAUGAUCAGUAGCCGGGCGUGAGGGGUGAACCACCACAAUGGGACUGAGACACAGCCCAGACUCCUACGGGAAGCAGCAGUGGGGAAUCUUCCGCAAAGGGCGGAAGUCUGGCGGAGCAACGGCGCGGGGGAGGUAACGGGCUUCAGGUUGUAAAGCUAUGUUAAGCGGGAAGCGGUACCGGAAGAGAAAGCCACGGCUAACUCCGUGCCAGCAGCCGCGGUAAUAC